UACAGCCAUAUCACGCUGAAACAUCGGUUCCAUUGUGAUCACCAAAGUUAAGCAACGUUGUGUCUGGUCAGUACCUAGGUAGGUGUCUACUUGGGAAUACCAAGUGU